CCCAAUCUUAGAAUCAGAAGAUAUUAGACUAAGAUAUAAACCCUCCAUCUUCGAAUCAAAAUAUAUACACACUUUCUUCUUCUUGAAAAAACAAUAAUUGGAUUAUAAAUAAAACUAAACAAGGCCCAGUUCUUUAAAGCCCAAACAUAAAAAAACGUAAAGAAAAUAAGGAACCCAACCACCUAAGCAGACAUUCUUAUCCCUAAGUAUCUAAAAAACCAAGUCUAUUCAGAUCCCUUUUUUGUUUCUUGGAAAACCAUCGCAUAUCUGCUCUUAUGCAUGUCGAUUCAUCUUAAAGAAGAAAAAUAAUCUUCAAAUUCGCCUAGUAUUUACUAUCUUGCCUUCGCUCUUGUCACAACACUAAAGCCUAAAUCGUGAAACAACUUAUGAGUCUCUUCUGUUUUUCGUUUUGCUAUCCCAAAGUGAGUAUUGUCAUCUAUCACCACUUUUAACCGAUUAGAGUUCGUUUUGCAGUAAAAACCUAACCCAUCUGUCGAUAAUCCUCGUCAACUACCUCUUUUGCAAAGAAAGGAACCUCGCCCAUCAAAUAAGAUUUUGCAUUUCUUUUUAACCCUUCUCCAGCCAGUAAAUGUGCUACACCAUUCGCUUGUAUCUUUCACAAAUAGCCCUGGCGUUUAAGAUGUGAGCACCUAUUAUUGACCUUUCGGUUCUUUUUGUUUGCAACUUUCGAAUCACCGUAAGGCAUCCUCUUCUAUCUCCACCAUCGUAAGUCUGAGAUGCAACUCCAUCUUAGCCGCCUGUAAACAUGCUAGUGCCUUAGUCGCAAAUGGUGAAGGUAUGUUAUCAUGCAAUAAGCUUUUUAAAAACAAUACCCUUUUAGUUGCAUCUUUGAUGAUAAUUUUAGAGCACAAUACGAUUUAUUAUUUUGCUUACAGAACGUUGCACUAAAAUUUAUUUUAACAAUCUGGUCAUUAAGUUCCUCCUAUUGUGCUUGCACAUCUUGCUUUAUUGUUGUUUUUCAUUGAUUCCAUCAAUUUCUCCCAAAUAAUUCCUAAUAAAAUUUGUCGCCUCUGAGGUUGUUUUACGUUUGCCUUCAUGCAGUAAUUGGUUUCUCCCAGUUCAUAUAGUCCACAAAGCACAACAAAAGAUCCUACAAAGGUAUUUAAAAUCAUUUUCAAAGGACUUAUUCACCCAAUCUUUAAUAGACAUAUCUGAUGAUGACGUUGGCCACCUAAUGCCCAAUUGCUGCCAGAUCUUCUUCAAUUUUAGACAAUCCUGAAACACAUGUUCCACUAUUUCCAUUUCGUUCGCACACUAGAGUGUUCUAGCAUUCCCAUUAAUCUUCUGUAAUUUAGAUUAACAAAAGUAGGCUGAUAGUUAUUUGUAAUAUUCUAACUUGGUGGGCAGAUCUAAUAGCCAUAACUUUUUAUAAAGUGUCGAAUGGGAACAAUUGGCCCCAUUUGUAGUUACUUCAUUAUUUUUUUGUAACAACAAUUUGUAUGCAUUGAAUACUCCAUCGACAUAGGUAGAUCAAAUAAUUUUUUCUCUCCAUUUCCUCGCAAUUUGAUCAAUCAAAUCGGCCACAAUUUGUAUACUUUUAUUGGUAAUAGGUUGCUGAAUUUUGUAAUUUGAAUUCCUAAAAAUCCAAACAUCAUUUCUAACAAAAACUACUACCCCUGUACCAAUUCUUCAACACAUCCCAGACGCAAAAAGACCCUUUGUAGCCCAUACACUUUUUCAAUUAUACGAAAGUAAAUUCCCUAAACUCGACUUUAGAAAGUUUGUAUUCAGAAAAUAGUUUGCCUUUAAAGAUUUCGCUAACAAUGAGUUUGGAUAAUUAAUCAAACGCUAACCUUGUUUAGCAAGCAAAUCCAAAUUAUCAAUAACAUUUUCUAGUUCCACACAUAAGAAUUUGGUAAUAGAAAGCACAACAUGGAAUACGUAAGAAUGACUAGAAGAAUAAAUUUAAUGAAAAACUCCUUACCUCAUUGUGAGAGAUGCUGGAUACUCCCCCGACUUAUCUUCCAUCUCAUGUUAUCUUUCAGUCCUUGAAAAGCCUGUCAUUUUCUACCAUUCACUAUAUUUAGCAGCCCCAAAUAUUUUUCUAGUUUCGUAGACACCUUAACAUUAAAGAUUUGUGAAACCAGUUGCUUAUCCAGAUAUGACACAUUCGUGCUAAAGAAAGUCAUAGAUUUGUAAAAAUUAAUACACUGCCACGAGCUUUUUUCAUACUCCUUUAGGAGCUUUAUAAUACUAGCUCUUGUAGUAGUCGCUUUCCCAAAUAAAAUGCAAUUGUCUGCAAACAUUAAGUGGGUUAUUUGUGGCCCCCUUCGACUAAUUCUCGCCUUCUUCACCAAUCCCUCAUGUUAAGAAAGUCUCAUAAGUGCUAAAAGAUCCUCAUUACAAAAUAAAAAUAAGUAUGAACUCAGUGGAUCUCCCUGUCUCAACCCCCUUUCGAGCUUAAAUUUUUUACCCAAUUUACCAUAAUAAUGAUAGAGUAUGAUACGGAAUUAAACACUACAUUAUAAACUUCACCCAAAGUCUUACGAAAUCCAUUUUCAGUAUUAUUUUCUCAAUGAAAUACCAUUUCACGUAAUCAUAAGCGUUGUUCAUUUCCAAUUUCAAUGAUAAGCAACACUUUCUCUCCUUCCGUUUCUUUUUUUUAAAGCAUAUAAUGCUUUAUAAGCUAAGAGCACAUUAUCUGUAAUGAGUCUACUGGACAUAAAAGUACUUGAUGCUUUAUCGAUGUAAGACUCAAUAAUCUUUUGUAACAUAUUUGCCACUAUCUUCACAAUAAUCUUAUACAACAUCGUACAAAGACUAAUUGGUCUAAAAUUUUUCAAAUUGGUAGGAUUGUCCAUUUUUGGAAUUAAGACAAUAUUCGCCUUAUUCAGCGUUUCCAAUGGUUUACCCCUAUUCAGAUUGUCCAGACAUAAAGCACAAAUAUUCUUCCCAACUAUAUGCCAACCUUUGAAAAAAUAAAGUAUGAAAGUCGUCCUCACCUCACCCGAAGCUUUUGUAAGACCCAUUGUUUUUGAAGCUUCAUAUAUUUUCUCACCUUUGUAUUCGACCAUCAAAUCCCCGUUCAUACACUAUCAGUUACACAUAUUUUGACUCCUGAUAAUAAAUUAUCUAUAUUACCAAUACUUUUAGUCGAGAAGAGAUCCAGGAAGUAAUUUUGCACCACAUUCUCCACCUCAAAAUGUUUAGUAACCAGCGAACCCUCCUCAUUUUGUAGCCCAUUUAUCCUUUUUUGCGACGCCUAUAGGAAGAAAAAUUAUGGAAAAAAGGAGGUGUUCCAAUCUCCUAUUUUCAACUAAUUUGCCUUCGCUCUAUGUUCCUAAUAUCUCUCAUAUUUCUUCGUAUCUAGAUUAAAAUGUAGCUUUACAUCGAUCAAUUUGGCUAACACUGUAACGCCCCCAAAAUUUGAGUGUUGUCUAUUAAAUUUUGAUAUAAUUAAGUCUUUGUAUCUGUGACUAUUCUGUUUUUGUAUUUAAGAUCAGGGGUUCGAGUAUUCCUUCUUGAAUUUUUACUGUUUAUUUUAGUUCAACCGCUAUUAUUGAACUCUUGACUUAAGUUUAUUUUUGUGUUAAUUUUUAUUAAGAACGAGCUUAUUGGUUUAAUGGUUAAGCUUCUAUAUACUCUUUAUUCUUGUUUUUGAGUCUCCACGUAAGCGAAGAGGAACGUAUAUGGUUUUACUACUCGACAGAAUUUUUAUUGUUAUUUUUAUUUUAUUUUCUUAAAAUAGGACCAAAACGUUUCUUCAUUUCUUCUUGUUUUUCUUGUUAGUUGAAAUCCUUUUAUUUUUUUCUUUCUUUUAUUUUUCUUCUUCGUCCGUAACAUAUGAAGUUCCAUUAUUAAUUUUUUUACUGCUCUAUUUUCAAGAAAGUUGUGUAUUCUGUUGUUUGUCAACUGAAAGGUAAACUACAUACGUUUUUGUUGUGGAAAUUCCAUUAGAUGGUUGUUAUUGUUUCAUUUUUGUUGAAAUUGGUUUUUUUCUUGGUUUGCUCGAAUUUUAUGUUUAAGAGUUCAAUUGGCUUCCUUUUUAGGCGAUGAUCUUAUGAGAACCGUUUCUCCAACACACUAGUUCCAUUUUUCGCAAUUUCGUACAAG
rnacentral:lncRNA from 1 species